GAUGAAGAACGUAGCGAAAUGCGAUAAGUAAUGUGAAUUGCAGAAUUCAGUGAAUCAUCGAAUCUUUGAACGCGCAUUGCGCCGGCCAGUAGUCUGGCGGGCAUGCCUGUUCGAGCGUCAUUACAACCCUCAGGCCCCCGGGCCUGGCGUUGGGGAUCGGCAGAAGCCCCCUGUGGGCACACGCCGUCCCUCAAAUACAGUGGCGGUCCCGCCGCAGCUUCCAUUGCGUAGUAGCUAACACCUCGCUACUGGAGAGCGGCGCGGCCAUGCCGUAAAACACCCAACUUCUGAAUGUUGACCUCGAAUCAGGUAGGAAUACCCGCUGAACUUAAGCAUAUCAAUAAGCGGAGGA
rnacentral:misc_RNA from 1 species